rnacentral:rRNA from 1 species
UAGGGAAUCUUCCGCAAUGGGCGAAAGCUUGACGGAGCAACGCCGCGUGAGUGAUGAAGGUCUUCGGAUCGUAAAACUCUGUUAUUAGGGAAGAACAAAUGUGUAAGUAACUAUGCACGUCUUGACGGUACCUAAUCAGAAAGCCACGGCUAACUACGUGCCAGCAGCCGCGGUAAUACGUAGGUGGCAAGCGUUAUCCGGAAUUAUUGGGCGUAAAGCGCGCGUAGGCGGUUUUUUAAGUCUGAUGUGAAAGCCCACGGCUCAACCGUGGAGGGUCAUUGGAAACUGGACAACUCGAGUGCAGAAGAGGAAAGUGGAAUUCCAUGUGUAGCGGUGAAAUUCGCGGAGAUAUGGAGAAACACCAGUGGCGAAGGCGACUUUCUGGUCUGUAACUGACGCUGAUGUGCGAAAGCGUGGGGAUCAAACAGG